ensembl:snRNA U6 U6 spliceosomal RNA
AUGCUCGCUUCAGCAACAUACAUACUAAAAUUGGAACAAAUCAGAUUAGUAUGGCUCCUGCACGAGAAUAGCAUGCAAAUUUGUGAAACAUUCCGUAUGUAU